GGUAAUAACUCAGUGGUAGAGAACCUGUUUAGCAUGCACGAGGUCCUGGGUUCUAUUCCCAGUACUUCCA
rnacentral:tRNA from 1 species